rnacentral:rRNA from 1 species
CUCCUACGGGAGGCAGCAGCAGGGAAUUUUGCACAAUGGGCGAAAGCCUGAUGCAGCGACGCCGCGUGCGGGAUGAAUGCCUUCGGGUUGUAAACCGCUUUCAGGAGGGACGAAGCGAAAGUGACGGUACCUCCAGAAGAAGCCCCGGCCAACUACGUGCCAGCAGCCGCGGUAAUACGUAGGGGGCGAACGUUGUCCGGAUUUAUUGGGCGUAAAGAGCUCGUAGGCGGCUCAGCAAGUCGGCCGUGAAAACCCGGGGCUCAACCCCGGGACGCCGGUCGAAACUGCUGUGGCUAGGGUCCGGUAGAGGAGAGUGGAAUUCCCGGUGUAGCGGUGGAAUGCGCAGAUAUCGGGAGGAACACCAGUAGCGAAGGCGGCUCUCUGGGCCGGUACCGACGCUGAGGAGCGAAAGCUAGGGGAGCGAACAGGAUUAGAUACCCUGGUAGUCCUAGCCGUAAACGUUGGGCACUAGGUGUGGCGGACUCAUUGACGUCUGCCGUGCCGCAGCUAACGCAUUAAGUGCCCCGCCUGGGGAGUACGGUCGCAAGGCUAAAACUCAAAGGAAUUGACGG